rnacentral:rRNA from 1 species
AAUCAACGCUGGCGGCGUGCCUAACACAUGCAAGUCGAACGAGAAAGGGGAGCAAUCUCUGAGUACAGUGGCGACCGGGUGAGUAACACGUGACCAACCUGCCCUCGAGUGGGGAACAACAGCGGGAAACCGCUGCUAAUACCGCAUAACAUCUUCGAGUCGGAAGACUUGGGGAUCAAAGGAGCAAUUCGCUUGAGGAGGGGGUCGCGGCUGAUUAGCUAGUUGGUAGGGUAAUGGCCUACCAAGGCGAAGAUCGGUAUCCGGCCUGAGAGGGCGCACGGACACACUGGAACUGAAACACGGUCCAGACUCCUACGGGAGGCAGCAGUGGGGAAUUUUGCGCAAUGGGGGAAACCCUGACGCAGCAACGCCGCGUGGAGGAUGAAGUCCCUUGGGACGUAAACUCCUUUCGACCGGGACGAUAAUGACGGUACCGGUGGAAGAAGCACCGGCUAACUCUGUGCCAGCAGCCGCGGUAAUACAGAGGGUGCGAGCGUUGUUCGGAAUUAUUGGGCGUAAAGGGCGCGUAGGCGGUGCGGUAAGUCACCUGUGAAAUCUCCCGGCUCAACUGGGAGCCUGCAGGCGAA